rnacentral:rRNA from 1 species
AGUGCCAGCAAUUGCGGUUAAACUAAUUAUAUAAAUGAAUAUAAAUAAUUUAAUAAUUUUAAUUAUUAAAAAUAUUUUAUAUAAAUAUAUAUAUUUUUUAGUGAAAUAUUAAAUAUAAUUUAAAUUAAAAUAUUUAUAAUUAAUUAUAAUUAUAUAAAAUUUAUUUAUAAAACAGGAUUAGAUACCCUGGUAUUUAAAAAUAAAAAAAUAAAAUUAAAAAUUAAAUGUAUAAAUCAUUAAAUUAAAAUAAUUUGGCGGUAUUUUUAGAAUUAGAGGGAUUUGUUUUAUAAUUGAUAAUCCACGAUUAGAUUUACCUAUUUAAUAUAUUUUUAUAUAUUGUUGUUUUAAUUUUGUCAUAAAUAUGAAUUACAUUAAAAAAUUUUAAUAUAAAUAUAAUUCAAAUCAAAAUGUAGAAUAAAUAGGAAUUUAAAUGAAUCACAAUUUAAUUAAUAAUUGAAUAUAUUUAUUUAAUUUAAUAUAGAAAGAGGAUUUAAUAGUAAAUUUAUUUAUAUAAAUAAAUUGAAUUAUAUAAAAAAUAUGUACAAAUUGCCCGUCAUUUUCAUUAUUAAGAUGAAAAAAGUCGUAACAAAGUAAAUGUACUGGAAAGUGUAUUUA